CCCUUAGAUGUCCUGGGCCGCACGCGCGCUACACUGAUGUAUUCAACAAGUGUUACCUUGACCGAGAGGCCUAGGAAAUCUUUUAAAAGUGCAUCGUGAUAGGAAUAGAUUAUUGCAAUUUUUAAUCUUGAACGAGGAAUUCCUAGUAAACGCAGAUCAUCAAUCUGCAUUGAUUACGUCCCUGCCCUUUGUACACACCGCCCGUCGCACCUACCGAUUGAAUGGUCCGGUGAAGCCUCGGGAUUGUAGCAAUCUACCUUUAUUGGUGGUUUGUUGCAAGAACUUGUCUAAACCUUAUCAUUUAGAGGAAGGUGAAGUCGUAACA
rnacentral:rRNA from 1 species